CUGACGUCCAAAAUUCUGCCUCCAGCCCUGAGAUCCCAGUUUGCAGAUCCUGCUUCCUUCUCUGUCCCUCUUCGGUAACCAUAUACGUCCCCAUGAGGCAGUCCUAGUUCCACUCCCUAAAGCUGCUUCCCUCCCUCCCAUUGUUCCUGGCUCAGUGAAGGGGACCUCAGGCCCCUGUGGUUCACACCAGAAGCACUGCGGUAAGGCUUGAUUCCUCUUUCCCACACCAAUAGCCAUGCCACCAGCAAACCCUCCAGUGUGGAUACCAGAUCUGCACGCUUCCCACCACCAGCACCCUUCAAGCCUGGGCCAUCUCUCCUCUGUCCAGGGGAGUGACCUCCCAAGCAGCUUUGCUGUGGCUACUCCUCCCCAAACUGUCCUGGACACCCAGAGCUUUCCUGUCUUCCUGGCCCCCUGCUCACGCCUAUUCAGUCCCAGGAGCCUGUUCUCACACCAGCGAAGCCGUUCCCACCCAGGGCCUUCACAUCUGUUCUUCUGUGGGCUGGGAAGCCAAGAUCUGUGUCACCAGGGUCUGGUUCAAUUGUCAUCUGCAGGUCCUUCUGCAACGUUAAGGCUCCCGACAGCAC
rnacentral:lncRNA from 1 species